UACGUAGGGGGCAAGCGUUGUCCGGAAUCAUUGGGCGUAAAGCGCGUGUAGGCGGUUCGGUAAGUCUGCUGUGAAAGUCCAGGGCUCAACCCUGGGAUGCCGGUGGAUACUGUCGGGCUAGAGUGCGGAAGAGGCGAGUGGAAUUCCCGGUGUAGCGGUGAAAUGCGCAGAUAUCAGGAGGAACACCGGUGGCGAAGGCGCCACUCUGGGCCGAAACUGACGCUGAGGAGCGAAAGCGUGGGUAGCAAACAGG
rnacentral:rRNA from 1 species